rnacentral:rRNA from 1 species
AUAUCAAUAAGCGGAGGAAAAGAAACCAACAGGGAUUACCUCAGUAACGGCGAGUGAAGCGGUAACAGCUCAGAUUUGAAACCUGGCCUGGCCCGGAUUGUAAUCUGCAGAGGAAUGUUUGGCCGAAGAGUCGAUCCAAGUCCCUUGGAACAGGGCGUCAUAGAGGGUGAGAACCCCGUUGGCCCGAUGUCUGACGCCGUGUAAACAUCCUUCGACGAGUCGAGUUGUUUGGGAAUGCAGCUCAAAAUGGGUGGUAAAUUCCAUCUAAAGCUAAAUAUUGGCCAGAGACCGAUAGCGCACAAGUA